GAUGAACGCUGGCGGCGUGCCUAAUACAUGCAAGUCGAGCGAACAGACGAGGAGCUUGCUCCUCUGACGUUAGCGGCGGACGGGUGAGUAACACGUGGAUAACCUACCUAUAAGACUGGGAUAACUUCGGGAAACCGGAGCUAAUACCGGAUAAUAUAUUGAACCGCAUGGUUCAAUAGUGAAAGACGGUUUUGCUGUCACUUAUAGAUGGAUCCGCGCCGCAUUAGCUAGUUGGUAAGGUAACGGCUUACCAAGGCAACGAUGCGUAGCCGACCUGAGAGGGUGAUCGGCCACACUGGAACUGAGAAACGGUCCAAAACCCUACGGGAAGGCGGCGUAGGGAAUCUUCCGGAAUGGGCGAAAGGCUUACGGAGCAAAGGCGCGUGAGUGAAGAAGGGUUUCGGAACGGAAAACUCUGUUAUUAGGGAAGAACAAAUGUGUAAGUAACUAUGCACGUCUUGACGGUACCUAAUCAAAAAGCCACGGCUAACUACGUG
rnacentral:rRNA from 1 species